rnacentral:rRNA from 1 species
GAUGAACGCUGGCGGCGUGCCUAAUACAUGCAAGUCGAGCGAACGGACGAGAAGCUUGCUUCUCUGAUGUUAGCGGCGGACGGGGGAGUAACACGUGGAUAACCUACCUAUAAGACUGGGAUAACUUCGGGAAACCGGAGCUAAUACCGGAUAAUAUUUUGAACCGCAUGGUUCAAAAGUGAAAGACGGUCUUGCUGUCACUUAUAGAUGGAUCCGCGCUGCAUUAGCUAGUUGGUAAGGUAACGGCUCACCAAGGCAACGAUGCAUAGCCGACCUGAGAGGGUGAUCGGCCACACUGGAAAUGAGACACGGUCCAGACUCCUACGGGAGGCAGCAGUAGGGAAUCUUCCGCAAUGGGCGAAAGCCUGACGGAGCAACGCCGCGUGAGUGAUGAAGGUCUUCGGAUCGUAAAACUCUGUUAUUAGGGAAGAACAUAUGUGUAAGUAACUGUGCACAUCUUGACGGUACCUAAUCAGAAAGCCACGGCUAACUACGU